CCUCUCAGUGUGAUGAUGGUCUCUGUGCUGAUGUGCAUGAGAGGCUUCUUAAAGGGAAGUGAAACAAUGUGUGAUGCACGUCCCACCCUGACGGUGCUGCCCCCCUCCCGUGAGGAGCUGCAGCAGGGUACCACGGCCACGCUCAUGUGCCUGGCCAACAAGGGCUUCCCCUCAGGCUGGAGUCUGGCCUGGAAGGUGGACGGCAGCAGCAGCAUCAGCUGCGGGGAGGAGAGCAGGAGCCCUGCGGUGCUAGACAAGGACGCUCUCUACAGCUGGAGCAGCACCCUGAGGAUCACUGCAGACCAGUGGAGGAAGCUGGGCUCUGUGACCUGUGAGGCCACCCAGGGCUGCCAGGCUCCAGUCACAGAGACUCUGAUGAAAGACAAGUGUUCCCAGUUCUGAUCUGACUCCCUGGGACUCUGCUGCUGGUUUUACUCUCAUGGUGAUUUUUCUUCUCAGUCUGUGAACAAAAAUGUCUUUCUGUCUCUUUCUUUGAUUUAAUGAUUCAUCACAAGCUUUUCUUCCCUCUUGUAUGUUUGAUGUUUAAAAUGGCAAAAAUAAUAAAAUUUGAAUUCCAUGUUUUUGUCCUUUAAUUUAGGUCAUAUUGGCGUCAUUUGAACAUUUUUCAGUGAACAUUGAAGGAACUCAGUUUAAUAAAGUCAGAACUUUGUUCUACAA